GUGACAAUCCUCAUCCAUUGGGUAAAGGAAAGGCGAAGGUUGAGGCACGUCCACUCAUGUCUUCUCACCAUAUGAACGAUAUGAAAGGCAACAAUCUAAUUAAGCAGAGCUCCGUCCCUAUGGAAUACUCUCAACAGAUUUCUUCUCUUCAACGGUUUGUGGUGCCUAAGUCUGCAAUAAAGAAAGGCAGAGCUAUAGCCAUGGAAGAAGAUCUCCUAGCUAUAGAGGCAGACUGCUUCUUGUUACUUCCCUUUCUACAAAACAACCAGAACAUGGGAAUGCCCCUCUCCGACAUCACAUUGAAAUUGCAGAGAAAGUUGCAGAAGCUCUUAGAUAAUCAAGAUCACGUGGAUCUGAUGAGGAAAUGGAGUUCCAAGAUGAGUCAGAUGAGGAUUCUAUUACUGAUUCGAUAGAAGAACUCAACGAUGAGAUGACAAUGAACCAAGCACAAGAGGGUCUCCGCAGGGGAGGUCUCACCUGUAGAGGAUUUUAACAACAGGAUGGUGCCCAUAAGAAAGGUUGUAAACGAGCGGAGGAAGAUUCAAGCUUGGAAGUGGGACUAAUGGCGUUGGAUUUUGGUUUAGAAGUUGUGCCAAGAUGGACUCACAAUAUUCACACCAUUUUUACCGAUUGCCUGGCUGCUAAAUUUUCAGUUACUGAUUUCGAUGGAGCUGUUUUUUGGCUGAGAAUUGAAUCAAUCAGAGAAUCAAUCGCUUCAUUGAAAAUCUGGACCUUGAUAUCUCAGUUAUUCCUAGGAGUUGGAAAAUUCUUGCUGACAAAUUAGCUUCACAUGGUCGUUCUGAGCAUUGCCUUUCUUUUUUUCAUCAAGGCCUGUAUCUUCCCCAGUGGCUUAUGGAAGCUAUCCACUCUUUUGGGUUUUAUUAGUUCAUGUUCUAGUUUUGUGGUGAUUUGUUUUUGUUUGCUUUUUAGAGUAGUUUUGUCCUUCUUGGUUGUGUGCCUUUGUUUGUUUUCAGUCUUUUGCAUUUCAAUAAAAUCAGCUAGGAAGGCUCUUUCCCGCCAAAAA